AAACGAACACACGUGGUUGGGGAGAAUAUCCUCAGGCCAGCGAGAAAACUAUAGUUAAGGAACUCGGCAAAUUAGCCCCGUAAGUUCGCGAGAAGGGGUGCCUAGGGCAACCUAGGCCGCAGUGAAGAGACACCGGCAACUGUUUAUCAAAAACACAGCUCUAUGCAAAGGCGUAAGCCGAAGUAUAUGGGGCGACGCCUGCCCAGUGCUCCAAGGUUAAGAGGAGGGGUUAGCCAGUAGUAAGAUACUGGUGAGGCUCUGAAUUGAAGCCCGAGUGAACGGCGGCCGUAACUAUAACGGUCCAAAGGUAGCGAAACUCCUUGUCAGGUAAGUUCUGACCCGCAUGAAAGGCGUAAUGACUGGUGUACUGUCUCAACUAUAGACUCGGUGAAAUCUUAGUACCGGUGAAGAUGCCGGUUACCCGCAACUAGACGGAAAGACCCCGUGGAGCUUUACUGCAACUUGAUAUUGGGUUUUUCUCUUGUUUGUACAGGAUAGGUGGGAGACUGUGAGGCUAGGACGCCAGUUCUAGCGGAGUCGUUGGUGGGAUGCCACUCUAACAAGCGGAGAAUUCUAACUUAUUGGUUUACAGCCAAAAGGACAGUGUCUGGUGGGUAGUUUGACUGGGGCGGUCGCCUCCUAAAAAGUAACGGAGGUGUUCAUAAGGUAUCCUCAGUAGGUAUAGAAAUCCUAUGUAGAGCGUAAAGGUAGAAGGAUGCUUAACUGUGAGACAUACAAGUCGAACAGAUACGAAAGUAGGACUUAGUGAUCCGGCGGUUACCUAGUGGUAGGGCCGUCGCUAAACGGACAAAAGUUACCCCGGGGAUAACAGCUAAUACUUCCCAAGAGACCACAUCGACGGAAGUGUUUGGCACCUCGAUGUCGACUCAUCGCAUCCUGGAGGUGAAGAAGCUUCCAAGGGUUGGGCUGUUCGCCCAUUAAAGCGGUACGUGAGUUGGGUUUAGAACGUCGUGAGACAGUUUGGUCCCUAUCUGUUGUGGGCGUAGGAAAUUUGCGAAGAGCUGCUCCUAGUACGAAAGGACCGGAGUGGACUAACCAAUGAUGUGCCAGUUGUCAUGUCAAUGGCACGGCUGGAUAGUUACGUUAGGAAUGGAUAAGCACUGAAAGCAUAUAAGUGCGAAGCCAACUUCAAGAUAAGAUUUCCCAUCCGUAAGGAGUAAGAUACCUUCAAUACCAGGAGGUUGAUAGGUGGAAAAUGUAAGCACAGUAAUGUAUUUAGUUAAUCCAUACUAAUUUAUCGAGGACUUAUCCAA
rnacentral:rRNA from 1 species